rnacentral:rRNA from 1 species
AUUGAACGCUGGCGGCAGGCCUAACACAUGCAAGUCGAGCGCGCGGCGGGCGCGGGAGUAAUGUCUGUGAAACUGCCCGAUGGAGGGGGGUAACUAUACUAAACGCUAGCUAAUACCCCAUACCAUCUGAGCUUCCCCCAUGUGAUGAGCUAGUAUGUGGGGGAACGGCUCACCUAGGCGACGAUCCCUAGCUGGUCUCAGAGGAUGACCAGCCACACUGGAACUGAGACACGGUCCAGACUCCUACGGGAGGCAGCAGUGGGGAAUAUUGCACAAUGGGCGCAAGCCUGAUGCAGCCAUGCCGCGUGUAUGAAGAAGGCCUUCGGGUUGUAAAGUACUGUCAGCGGGGAGGCGUUACCCGCAGAAGAAGCACCGGCUAACUCCGUGCCAGCAGCCGCGGUAAUAC